GUUGGGUUAGUUUAACUAAAAUAUCAGUUUGUGGGUCUGAUGAUAAAAUUUAAUUUUACCCAACC
rnacentral:tRNA from 4 species